rnacentral:rRNA from 1 species
CAGUAGCCGCGGUAAAACGUAGGUGGCAAGCGUUGUCCGGAAUUAUUGGGCGUAAAGGGCUCGCAGGCGGUUUCUUAAGUCUGAUGUGAAAGCCCCCGGCUCAACCGGGGAGGGUCAUUGGAAACUGGGAAACUUGAGUGCAGAAGAGGAGAGUGGAAUUCCACGUGUGGCGGUGAAAUGCGUAGAGAUGUGGAGGAACACCAGUGGCGAAGGCGACUCUCUGGUCUGUAACUGGCGCUGAGGAGCGAAAGCGUGGGGAGCGAACAGGAUUAGAUACCCCAGUAGUCCCUGUCUCUUAUAU